AUUGAACGCUGGCGGCAUGCCUUACACAUGCAAGUCGAACGGUAACGGGCCUUCGGGUGCCGACGAGUGGCGAACGGGUGAGUAAUGUAUCGGAACGUACCUUUCAGUGGGGGAUAACGUAGCGAAAGUUACGCUAGUACCGCAUAUUCUGUGAGCAGGAAAGCAGGGGAUCGCAAGACCUUGCGCUGAUUGAGCGGCCGAUAUCGGAUUAGCUAGUUGGUUAGGUAAAGGCUCACCAAGGCGACGAUGUGUAGCGGGGCUGAGAGGAUGAUCCGCCCCACUGGAACUGAGACACGGUCCAGACUCCUACGGGAGGCAGCAGUGGGGAAUUUUGGACAAUGGGGGCAACCCUGAUCCAGCCAUGUCGCGUGAGUGAAGAAGGCCUUCGGGUUGUAAAGCUCUUUCGGCCGGGAAGAAAUCGUAUCAGCUAAUACCUGGUGCGGAUGACGGUACCGGCAUAAGAAGCACCGGCUAACUACGUGCCAGCCGCCGCAGUAAUAC
rnacentral:rRNA from 1 species